rnacentral:rRNA from 1 species
CGGGUGAGUAACGCGUGAGGAACCUGCCUCAAAGAGGGGGACAACAGUUGGAAACGACUGCUAAUACCGCAUAAGCCCACGGCUCGGCAUCGAGCAGAGGGAAAAGGAGCAAUCCGCUUUGAGAUGGCCUCGCGUCCGAUUAGCUAGUUGGUGAGGUAAUGGCCCACCAAGGCGACGAUCGGUAGCCGGACUGAGAGGUUGAACGGCCACAUUGGGACUGAGACACGGUCCAA